rnacentral:rRNA from 1 species
GACGAACGCUGGCGGCGUGCUUAACACAUGCAAGUCGAACGGAAAGGCCCUGCUUUUGUGGGGUGCUCGAGUGGCGAACGGGUGAGUAACACGUGAGUAACCUGCCCUUGACUUUGGGAUAACUUCAGGAAACUGGGGCUAACACCGGAUAGGAGCUCCUGCUGCAUGGUGGGGGUUGGAGAGUUUCGGCGGUUGGGGAUGGACUCGCGGCUUAUCAGCUUGUUGGUGGGGUAGUGGCUUACCAAGGCUUUGACGGGUAGCCGGCCUGAGAGGGUGACCGGCCACAGUGGGACUGAGAUACGGCCCAGACUCCUACGGGAGGCAGCAGUGGGGAAUAUUGCACAAUGGGCGGAAGCCUGAUGCAGCAACGCCGCGUGCGGGAUGACGGCCUUCGGGUUGUAAACCGCUUUCGCCUGUGACGAAGCGUGAGUGACGGUAAUGGGUAAAGAAGCACCGGCUAACUACGUG